UUAACUCAAACUUGUAUGAGUUGGAACGUGUGCCUACGUUUGCCGCUAGGGGUGCUGAUCCAAAUGCGUACAAAUUUGAGUAA
rnacentral:pre_miRNA from 1 species